UGAAUAACGGGGUGAAAUAGUACCUGAAACCGCACACCUACAAGCGGUCGGAGCUACUUCGUGUAGUGACGGCGUGCCUUUUGCAUAAUGAGCCUACGAGUUGCUCCUCAUUGGCAAGGUUAAGUCUUUAAGGGACGUAGCCGGAGCGAAAGCGAGUCUGAAUAGGGCGUACAGUCAGUGGGGGCAGACGCGAAACCUUGUGAUCUACCCAUGGUCAGGUUGAAGUUGCGGUAACACGCAAUGGAGGACCGAACCAGUUGACGUUGAAAAGUCUUUGGAUGAACUGUGGGUAGGGGUGAAAGGCCAAUCAAACUGGGAAAUAGCUCGUACUCCCCGAAAUGCAUUUAGGUGCAGCGUCGGGUUGAGUCUGGCGGAGGUAGAGCUACCGAUAGGACUAGGGGGAGUCAAAUCCUACCAAAUCCUGACGAACUCCGAAUGCCGUCAGAUAUAACCGGCAGUGAGGGCAUGGGUGCUAAGGUCCAUGUCCGAGAGGGAAAGAACCCAGAUCCUCAGCUAAGGUCCCCAAGUAUACAUUAAGUUGAACUAAGGCGGUCCAGUUGCAUAGACAGCCAGGAGGUUAGCUUGGAAGCAGCUAUUCCUUUAAAGAGUGCGUAACAGCUCACUGGUCGAGCGACAGGGCAUCGAUAAUAAUCGGGCAUCAAAUGUAUCACCGAAGCUAGGACAUUGUACAUUAGUACAUUGGGUAGGGGAGCAUUCUAAGGGCGGUGAAGGUGUGAGGUAACUCAUGCUGGAGCGCUUAGAAAAGCAAAUGUAGGCAUAAGUAACGAUAAGGCAGGCGAGAAACCUGCCCGCCGAUAGACUAAGGUUUCCUGAUCAACGCUAAUCGGAUCAGGGUUAGUCGGGUCCUAAGGCGAACCCGAAAGGGGUAGUCGAUGGCAAAUUGGUUAAUAUUCCAAUACUUGCUGCAUCAGCGAUGGAGUGACGGAGUAGUGAAAGUCCCGCGAACUGACGGAAUAGUUCGUUAAAGCGUGUAGGUAUAGGACCGGAUAGGCAAAUCCACCGGACCUGCUGAACGUGAUAGUACCGCAAUACUUCGGUAGCGUGGAUAGUGGACCUAAUCAGACUUCCAAGAAAAACUUCUAAGCUUAUGGUGUAGCAACCCGUACCGUAAACCGACACAGGUAGUCAAGGAGAGAAUCCUGAGGCGCUCGAGUGAUUCAUGGCUAAGGAACUAGGCAAAAUGACCCUGUAACUUCGGGAGAAGGGGUGCUUCCCUCGUAAGAGGAAGCCGCAGUGAAAAGAUCCAGGCGACUGUUUAACAAAAACACAUGGCUCUGCGAAAUCGAAAGAUGAUGUAUAGAGCCUGACACCUGCCCGGUGCCGGAAGGUUAAGUGGGGGCGUUAGACUUCGGUCAAAGCGCUGAAAUGAAGCCCCGGUAAACGGCGGCCGUAACUAUAACGGUCCUAAGGUAGCGAAAUUCCUUGUCGGGUAAGUUCCGACCUGCACGAAUGGUGCAACGAUCUGGAUACUGUCUCAGCCAUGAGCUCGGUGAAAUUGUAGUAGCGGUGAAGAUGCCGCUUACCCGCCACGGGACGGAAAGACCCCAUGAACCUUUACUACAGCUUUACAUUGACAUUGGGUAACUGAUGUGUAGGAUAGGCGGGAGACUGUGAUCCUGCGUCGCUAGGCGUAGGUUAGUCAUUGGUGAAAUACCGCCCUUCGGUUAUCUGAUGCCUAAUCCCAAAAGGAGACAUUGUAUGGCGGGUAGUUUGACUGGGGUGGUCGCCUCCAAAAGAGUAACGGAGGCUCCCAAAGGUACCCUCAGCACGCUUGGUAACCGUGCGCAGAGUGUAAUAGCAUAAGGGUGCUUGACUGUGAGGCCUACAAGCCGAGCAGGAACGAAAGUUGGGUAUAGUGAUCCGGUGGUUCCGCAUGGAAGGGCCAUCGCUCAAAGGAUAAAAGGUACUCUGGGGAUAACAGGCUGAUCUCCCCCAAGAGCUCACAUCGACGGGGAGGUUUGGCACCUCGAUGUCGGCUCGUCACAUCCUGGGGCUGGAGAAGGUCCCAAGGGUUGGGCUGUUCGCCCAUUAAAGUGGCACGCGAGCUGGGUUCAGAACGUCGUGAGACAGUUCGGUCCCUAUCUGUGGUGGGCGUUGGAAAUUUGAGGAGACCUGUCCUUAGUACGAGAGGACCGGGAUGGACAUACCGCUGGUGUAUCAGUUGUGCCGCCAGGUGCAUUGCUGAGUAGCUACGUGUGGAUGAGAUAAGCGCUGAAAGCAUCUAAGCGCGAAACUCGCUCCAAGAUGAGAUUUCCUUUAAGGGUCGUUAU
rnacentral:rRNA from 1 species